GACGAACGCUGGCGGCGUGCCUAACACAUGCAAGUCGAGGGGUGAUUUCGGUCAUCACUGGCGCACGGGUGAGUAACGCGUAGAUCAUCUGCCCCUAUCACUGACAUAACAGUUCUAACGGACUGCUAAUAUCAGAUGAGGUGAGCAAUCAUCAAAGUUUCGGCGGAUAGGGAUGAGUCUGCGUCUGAUUAGGUAGUUGGUGAGGUAACGGCUCACCAAGCCGACGAUCAGUAACUGGUCUGAGAGGACGAACAGUCACACUGGAACUGAGACACGGUCCAGACUCCUACGGGAGGCAGCAGUGAGGAAUAUUGCACAAUGGGAGGAAUCCUGAUGCAGCGACGCCGCGUGCGGGAUGAAGGGGGCUUAGGCCUCGUAAACCGCUGUCGGAGGGGACGAAUGGUACAUUUGAUGUACUGAGACGGUACCCUCAAAGGAAGGAUCGGCUAACUACGUGCCAGCAGCCGCGGUAAU
rnacentral:rRNA from 1 species